AUUUAAUCCUAUUUGGAUAACUGUAGUAAUUCUAGAGCUAAUACAUGCAAAAAAACCUGGACUUUACAGAACAGGUGUACUUAUUAGACUUUAAAACCGAUUACAAUUUAUUGUAAAUUUAAAAUGAAUUAAAAUAAGUUUAUGAAUCGCAGAUCAUUUUGUGAUGAUAAGAAUGAAUUUCUGCCCUAUCAACUUUCGAUGGUAAUGUAGUGGAUUACCAUGGUGAUGACGGGUAACGGGGAAUUAGGGUUUGAUUCCGGAGAAAAAGGCCUGAGAGACGGCCAUUACUUCUAAGGAAGGCAGCAGGCGCGUAAAUUACCCAAUCCUAAUACGGGGAGGUAGUGACAAGAAAUAUGAUAUUGGACCCAAAGGGUACAAUGAUUGAAAUG
rnacentral:rRNA from 1 species